AUUUUAUUGAAUCUUUUUAUGUUUCCUGAAAAUUAUUUCACCAUGAAAGAUUUAUUUAUGGUAUAGUAUAAAUUACUGUCCUGAAAGGUAUUAAUUUAAAUCAAUUAAAUAGCUUCCUUGACGUGUUAAAAAAACUAACUAGUAAAAACGAUCAAAGCAUUGAAGGUCGCUAGAUAUUUCUUUUGCAUCCUUUCACGCGACAUUUACUAUAAAACUGACGAAAGUGAACAAAACUCUACCAAACAAACAUAAUAAUGGCUAAAAUUAUCUUCAUUGCGAUAUUUAUUUUAGUUGUGAGUAGUUCUUUCUGCUGGCCAGGUAAUAUGAAAACAGGCACUGACAGUGACAGCAAGAGUGACUCCAGCUCCAGUGAAAGCUCAGAAUGUCACGGAAAGGGAGGCAAAAGUUGCAGCGACAAGGCAGCCUUCAACCGGAAAGGCUGACACAUUAAGAAGGACUAAAAUCGCUUUUGAACGUCUUUAAACAUCAGAUUGAAAUAACGCUCAUUAUUUUAUGUUUAUACAAUAAAUUUGUUUUUUUU